GGUUAACCGUAUAGGGGAGCCGUAGGGAAACCGAGUCUUAACCGGGCGUUAAGUUGCAGGGUAUAGACCCGAAACCCGGUGAUCUAGCCAUGGGCAGGUUGAAGGUUGGGUAACACUAACUGGAGGACCGAACCGACUAAUGUUGAAAAAUUAGCGGAUGACCUGUGGCUGGGGGUGAAAGGCCAAUCAAACCGGGAGAUAGCUGGUUCUCCCCGAAAGCUAUUUAGGUAGCGCCUCGUGAACUCAUCUCCGGGGGUAGAGCACU
rnacentral:rRNA from 1 species